UUGAACUUGUCUUAAAUGGCAAGCUAAAAAAGAUCCCAAAAGGUGGCAUUUGCUUAACUAACAUUAAAGAGCACCAAGGAGAACUUUCGGAUGCCCUUUGAUGGAUGGAAAUUCUAUUGCCCGAGAAUGAAUUUUUCAAGCAAAAUGUCCUAAGAAUGCGUUUCAGGAUCCUGAAGAAUGAGAACUGAUAACCUUUCACAUUGUUGCUGAGAUAUGGUAACCUUCCCAUACUUGUCGUUUGCCGAGAACAGGUAUGAUUUAUUUCAUCUACAAAAAUAGAUACUCCUAACAAGCCAACCUGAUAAUUUGAUUUGAAUUUUGAAGCUCACAGGCUGUAAAAAUUCCAGAUAAAGUUGAAAUAUAAAAUUGUACAUUCCACUGGGCUCGCAACGGACCUUGUUCUGCAGUCCACAACCCUGUUCAGAUGAAGCACUUGGACACAUGCCAGUUGUGUCAUGUGGAUGUCUGUGUGACUCUAUAUCAGCUCAAAUCUAACAAUCUGAACUCAGCUGGGUCGUUGCUUAACCUUUGCACGCACAUAACAAUUAGCCUUGGGAAAAAGAACCUGGACUUUUUUACACUAUCAUUUUUUCCUUAAUUGAUUGACUUCAACAUCUUCCAGUCUCUGACCAGAACAUAUAGGUCAUGCAUUACACUUGCUUGUUAUUCUAAAACUUGUCACCUUUCAAAAUGGUUAUUGUAUUUGUUUAAAAACAAAUUAAAUAUUGUUUUAAAAGAACUGGAUGGAUUUUGAGCACCCAUUCCCCCACUGGUAAAGUUGGUUUUGUUUGUUGCAGGAGGAAGAAAGCAGUAGGGGAAUUGAGCCCUCUUCAGACAGUGUGUACUUUAUACCAUUCUAAAAAGAAGGACUGCACCUGUCCGACCCACCCCUGACUUCCGUCUCUGAACAUUGAAUCUCUCCCUGAACAUUGAAUCUCUUUGUGUAACGUGGGGCAUUCCUUCAUACACACAUUCAACUCCAUACAUGAGGUUUACUGUGAAUUACUGUGUGGAGCUUGGGUUGAGAUCCCCAUGCCACACACUGAAGAUGCACAAACGCUGAACAUCUGAAAAGAUAUAUUGUGGAAUCAUGAUGAAGCCUGAAUCUGGGAUACCGAGGGAGUCCUUUGCAUCACAUUCCAAACAGGCUGCCAUACGACAGAAGGCUUCACAUGGGCCAGCAACCACAGAGAUUGUGGCUGAUUUGGGAUAACGGAAGUUGCAGUCUAGCAACAUCUGGGUAGCGUCAGCUUCCUCACCUUGCACAAGAGAAAUGGAAAGUGACUUUAAACCCAGGGACCCUCUG